UACGUAGGGACCAAGCGUUGUUCGGAUUUACUGGGCGUAAAGGGCGCGUAGGCGGCAAUUCAAGUCAGCUGUGAAAUCUCCGGGCUUAACUCGGAACGGUCAGCUGAUACUGCUUUGCUAGAGUGCAGAAGGGGCAAUCGGAAUUCUUGGUGUAGCGGUGAAAUGCGUAGAUAUCAAGAGGAACACCUGAGGUGAAGACGGGUUGCUGGGCUGACACUGACGCUGGAGGAGCGAAAGCGUGGGGAGCGAACAGG
rnacentral:rRNA from 1 species